UACCAAAAUUUUGAAUAAUUCGGAUAUUUAAUCAAUUCCGGUUCGGAUUUAGUACUACUUAUUCAGAUUGGGAUCGGUUCAAUUUUUCGAAUUCGAGUUUUUUGUCUAACCCUAAAUAGUGACAUAAAAAUCAAAUAGCAUCAUAUAUUUUUUUUUUAAAAUACACCCACACAGACGUGCGGGUCAAAAUCUAGUACUAAUUUAUAUUUUGUAUCAUAUUUGCUUCUAAUGCCAUCUAGUAAUUUUGAAAAUAAAUUAAAUAAAUAGUUUUACAAACCAAAAAAAUUGAAAAAAUAGUAAUUACUGAUGAAAUAUGAACUUAGUGGUAUUUUUCCAGUUCUAAAAAUGUCUAAAUCAUUAUUUGAGAUUAUGUUCUACAUAAAGUAGAAUUGGCAUUCUACGAAGUAGAAAAUAAAAUCUUUUUUACAUUGAAACUACUAUGUUUAGAAUACGUGAUCUACGUAAAUAAUAAUACUCUAUAAAUAUUUCGAAUACACAUUCGGUACUUAACCUAUCGUUCUAAAAUUUGUAGAAAUCAAAAUCCACAGAUUACUAUAAAUCUAAAACAUGUAGAAAUUGAAAUUUACACAUUACUAUUCUAUGAAUAAGAAUAAUCAGUUCCAAAAAAUAUACGAAGAAGUUAUUUGGAAAUAUUUAGUUUCCAUAUAUGAAAAAUCGAUUUUUCAAAAAAAAAAAUAUGGGAAGAAAAUAAUCAGUUUUUUUAUUUGAUGAUUUUAAUGUUUUUAAUUCUAAUUACUUUAAUUAUUUAUUAUAUUUUAAUAUUUAACAAUUGUUUUGUUAAUUUUAAUUUAUAACUGAAAUUAAGGGAAUUAUUGCUAUUUUGAAAAUAAUUAGCCUAAUGGGACAUAAAAUAUAUGAAAUUAGUCUAAUGGGACAUAAUUCCAUUAUUUGGCCUAAAAAUAAUAAUUUUUCCAACAAAUUAUGAUGCAUUUUCUUAAUUCAAACAGAACAAAAAGAUGGAAAUGAAGUUUUUGAGACAAAUAUAAUUAAAAUAUUUAAUGUUUUUUUCUAAUUGAGAUGAACUGAAUCAAAAAAAAAUAUCAGGUCUAAUCUAGAUAUAAUCUUCAUUACUUUAAAUAGUACGAUAAAAAGAAAUAUAUAAAAUAAAGUGAUAGAUAAAGCUAUGCAUUUUAAAUUUAUUUUAAUUUGCAAAUUCAUAAACUUUGCAGAAUAUGAAAGAAAUCCAACGUUUGGAACCAAACAGCAAAACCUAGAGACCCACCCUUAAAUUCUGGCUUUUGAGGUAAGUUAAGAGACGGUACAUAUCUGUCCUCUUCACCAAAUCUAAUUUAUUAUGCUGCGAUGUAUUACUGUUAUGUUUUUUUUUGAACGUUAUAUUACUGUCAAUUUAUUUUCAGUCUUCAAGAAGCAAUUCGAAAAUAAGAAUUUGGGAUAACCGCCUUAUACCAUUGCUAUUUCUCAUGGAGGCACGUUAUUUGAAUCACUGGAUUUAGUAUGAAGAUUAGGCAGGACGAAAAGAAACCCAAAAGAUGGUGAUGCGGAGUGUAGGAUCCUCUGUUGCUAAUGUAAUUGAAACGACAUUCUUCCGUCUCCCGUAUUUGGGUUUUGUAUUGAUUUUGUUUGACUAAUAUUUGCAGGGUAGGAUUGGCCAAUUCAUUUAACGUGUGUUGGUAGAAGAGGUCGCGGAGAAACCAGGCCAGGCUUUCCUACUACUAGCCGGUGCAAUGUGGUACGCUAACCAUAAGCAGGGUAAUAAGUAAGUGUUGAUUUUAAAAUCCUUGGAAAUUUCCAAUUUUUGAUGAGAAAUGAGUAAAUUUCUGAUUGAUGAAAAAAGCUGAGGAGGUGUGCCAGAUAAGAAAGCAACUUCACAAAUAAAAAGUGGAAUGUGAGAGAUUGAAGAAACGGGUUCUUGAGAGAAAUGCAGCUUAUAUUGCUAAAAAGGAUGAGCUGUUUUUGAGGAUGGCUAUGGAAGCUCUAUCGAAGUGGAUUGAAGUUGCGGAGAAGUAAAGUCAAACAAUCAUAUGCUCUGCUUAUGUAGCUUUUGUGUUCUUGAUCAUGUUUUGAGUUUAUCUUAUAUAUUAAAACAGAAGUCACAACCUUGAUUCAUGUGUGAUUUUUUUAAAA